rnacentral:rRNA from 1 species
GUCGCGAAUCAUCGGCAAUGCGCGCAAGCGUGACCGUGCGACGCCGCGUGGGCGAUGAAGGCCUUCGGGUUGUAAAGCCCUGUCAGGGGUGAAGAAUGGCAUGGGUCCGCCCAUGCUUGACGUUAGCCCCAAAGGAAGUCACGGCUAACUCCGUGCCAGCAGCCGCGGUAAGACGGAGGUGGCAAACGUUGCUCGGAAUCACUGGGCUUAAAGGGCGUGUAGGCGGCUGACUAAGUCGGGUGUGAAAGACCCCGGCCCAACCGGGGAACUGCAUUCGAUACUGGUCGGCUUGAGUGCGAGAGGGGCAAGUGGAACUCCAGGUGUAGCGGUGAAAUGCGUAGAUAUCUGGAGGAACGCCGGUGGCGAAAGCGACUUGCUGGCUCGUAACUGACGCUGAGGCGCGAAAGCCAGGGGAGCAAACGGGAUUAGAAACCCUGGUAGUCC